GACGAACGCUGGCGGCGCGCCUAACACAUGCAAGUCGAACGAGCGAGCGCGAGCUUGCUUUCUUGAGCGAGUGGCGAACGGGUGAGUAACACGUGAGGAACCUGCCCUAAAGUUUGGGACAACAUUAGGAAACGACUGCUAAUACCGCAUAGGACCACGGUUCCGCAUGGCACAGAGGGAAAAGGUGCACUCCGCGAUGGGAAGGCGGCGCUUCCGAUUUGGUUGUUGGGGUGGUAAUGGCCCAACAAGGCGACGGUCGGUAGCCGGGCGGAGAGGUUGGGCCGACACAUCUGGGCUGAGACACAGCCCAGACUCGUACGCAAGGGAGGAGAGGGGAAUACUGCACAAGGGGGGAAGACCUGACGGAGCGACGCCGGGUAGGGCAAGAAGGUGGUCGGAAAGUGAACUCGUGUUGUACGGGGAGAUAAUGACGGUACCCAACAAAGAAGCGACGGCUAACUACGUG
rnacentral:rRNA from 1 species